rnacentral:rRNA from 1 species
AACGAACGCUGGCGGCAGGCUUAACACAUGCAAGUCGAACGCCCCGCAAGGGGAGUGGCAGACGGGUGAGUAACGCGUGGGAAUCUACCCAGUUCUACGGAACAACUGAGGGAAACUUCAGCUAAUACCGUAUACGCCCUACGGGGGAACGAUUUAUCGGAAUUGGAUGAGCCCGCGUUGGAUUAGCUAGUUGGUGAGGUAACGGCUCACCAAGGCGACGAUCCAUAGCUGGUCUGAGAGGAUGAUCAGCCACACUGGGACUGAGACACGGCCAAGACUCCUGCGGGAGGCAGCAGUGGGGAAUAUUGGACAAUGGGCGCAAGCCUGAUCCAGCCAUGCCGCGUGAGUGAUGAAGGCCUUAGGGUUGUAAAGCUCUUUCAGUGGGGACGAUAAUGACGGUACCCACAGAAGAAGCCCCGGCUAACUUCGUGCCAGCCGCCGCAGUAACAC